rnacentral:rRNA from 1 species
GGACUACCGGGGUAUCUAAUCCCUUUCGCUCCCCUAGCUGUCGUUCCUCAGCGUCAUUAGUUGGUUAGCUUCCUGCCUUCGCCCUUGGAGUUCCUGAUGAUAUCAACGUAUUUCACUACUACACCAUCAGUUCCGGAAGCCCCACCAAAAAUCAAGCAGAAUAGUAUUACCUCCCUUCCCCCGGUUGAGCCGUGGUCUUUGAAAAGUAACUUUCCCUGCCGCCUACGAAACGCUUUACGCCCAAUAAAUCCGGAUAACGCUUGCACCCUCUGUAUUACCGCGGCUGCUGGCAC